GACGAACGUUGGCGGCGUGCUUAAUACAUGCAAGUCAACUGAAGCAGUGGUAGCAAUAUCGCUGUGGAGGUGGCGCACGGGUGAGUAACACGUAGGUAAUCUGCCUUCAGGUCUGGCAUAACUCCGGGAAACCGGGGCUAAUAGCAGAUGAUGCAGCGGCUCGACAUCGAGACAGUUGUUAAAGCUAUGGCGCCUGAAGAUGAGCCUGCGUCUGAUUAGCUAGUUGGCGGGGUAACGGCCCACCAAGGCAACGAUCAGUAGCCGGUCUGAGAGGAUGAUCAGCCACACUGGAACUGAGACACGGUCCAGACUCCUACGGGAGGCAGCAGUAAGGAAUAUUGCUCAAUGGGAGAAAUCCUGAAGCAGCAACGCCGCGUGAGGGACGAAGGGCUUUUGCUUGUAAACCUCUGUAGUGAGAGAAAAAAAUCCCAAUCUUUGGGACAUGAUGGUAUCUCAAAAGUAAGCCCCGGCUAACUACGUG
rnacentral:rRNA from 1 species